rnacentral:misc_RNA from 1 species
ACACCAUCAAGCCUAGCUUGGUCUUGGACGCGGUCGAGUGACCCGUCCGUAACCCGUUGGCGGUACAGUCCGGCUUCAAGCGUAGCAAAAAUUUCGCUUCAGGAGUCCGCGGCGGUGCCCGCCAGGUAAUUACAUCUCAAA